rnacentral:rRNA from 1 species
AGUCGACCCCUAAGGCGAGGCCGAAAGGCGUAGUCGAUGGGAAACGGGUUAAUAUUCCCGUACUCGAUCAAAUUGCGAUGGGGGGACGGAGAAGGCUAGGUGGGCCUGGCGACGGUUGUCCAGGUUCAAGUGCGUAGGCUUAAGAGUUAGGUAAAUCCGGCUCUUUUUAAGGCUGAGACACGACGUCGAGCUACUACGGUAGUGAAGUCAUUGAUGCCAUGCUUCCAGGAAAAGCCUCUAAGCUUCAGAUUUGAUGGAAUCGUACCCCAAACCGACACAGGUGGUCGGGUAGAGAAUACCAAGGCGCUUGAGAGAACUCGGGUGAAGGAACUAGGCAAAAUGGUACCGUAACUUCGGGAGAAGGUACGCUCUUGAUGGUGAAGUCCCUCGCGGAUGGAGCUGACGAGAGUCGCAGAUACCAGGUGGCUGCAACUGUUUAUUAAAAACACAGCACUGUGCAAAAUCGCAAGAUGACGUAUACGGUGUGACGCCUGCCCGGUGCCGGAAGGUUAAUUGAUGGGGUUAGCGUAA